rnacentral:rRNA from 1 species
UCGACGAUUAGAGUUUGAUCCUGGCUCAGGAUAAACGCUGGCGGCGUGCCUAACACAUGCAAGUCGAACGGUCUGUGGUUCUUUCGGGAGCCGCAGGCAGUGGCGGACGGGUGAGUAACACAUGGGUGACCUACCCCCUGGUGAGGAAUACCGGCGAGAAAUCGCCGACAAGACCGCAUACGCACGGCUGGGUGGAGCCAGUCGCGCAAAGCUUCCCGAGAGGGAGGCGCCAGGGGAGGGGCCUGUGGCCGAUUAGCUGGUUGGCGGGGUAAGGGCUCACCAAGGCGACGAUCGGUAGCUGGUCUGAGAGGACGAGCAGCCACACUGGGAUUGAGAACGGCCCAGACUCCUACGGGGGGCAGCAGUGAGGAAUUUUCCGCAAUGGUCGCAAGACUGACGGAGCAACGCCGCGUGCAGGAGGACGCGUUUCGGCGUGUAAACUGCUUUUGGGUGGGACGAGGUACGGACGGUACCAUCCGAAGAAGCCCCGGCUAACUACGUGCCAGCAGCCGCGGUAAUACGUAGGGGGCGAGCGUUGUCCGGAGUUACUGGGCGUAAAGGGCACGCAGGCGGUGGCGCGCGUUUUGGGUGACAGCGCCGGGCUUAACUCGGCGAGCAUGCGAAAGACGGCGCGACCGGAGGGCCAGAGAGGGACACGGAAUUCCGGGUGGAGUGGUGAAAUGCGUAGAGAUCCGGAGGAACACCGAAGGCGAAGGCAGUGUCCUGGCUGGCACCUGACGCUCGUGUGCGAAAGCCAGGGGAGCGAACGGGAUUAGAUACCCCCGGUAGUCCUGGCCGUAAACGAUGACCACGCGGUGUGGGAGGUAUCGACCCCUUCCGUGCCUAAGGUAACCCGGUAAGUGGUCCGCCUGGGGAGUACGGUCGCAAGAUUAAAACUCAAAGGAAUUGACGGGGACCCGCACAAGCAGCGGAGCGUGUGGUUUAAUUCGAUGCGACGCGCAGAACCUUACCAGGGUUUGACAUGCCGUUGACUCCCCACGAGAGUGGGGUCCUCGCAAGAGGCGGCGGCACAGGUGCUGCAUGGCUGUCGUCAGCUCGUGCCGUGAGGUGUUGGGUUAAGUCCCGCAACGAGCGCAACCCCCGUGCGCGGUUAGGCUGUCCGCGCAGACUGCCACGCUAAACGUGGAGGAAGGUGGGGAUGACGUCAAGUCAGCACGGCCCUUACGUCCUGGGCUACACACACGCUACAAUGGCCGCGACAACGAGGCGCCAACCCGCGAGGGGGAGCUAAUCUUGCAAACGCGGUCGCAGUUCGGAUGGCAGGCUGCAACCCGCCUGCCUGAAGCCGGAGUUGCUAGUAACCGUGGGUCAGCACACCACGGUGAAUACGUUCCCGGGUCUUGUACACACCGCCCGUCACACCACGAAAGUCGGCAACACCUCAAGCCGCUGGGCUAACCCGCUCUUUUGGGAGCGGGAGGCAGGCGUCCAGGGUGGGGUUGGCGAUUGGGGUGAAGUCGUAACAAGGUAGCCGUA